UUUCCGUAGGUGAACCUGCGGAAGGAUCAUUAUCAAACAGCGGACUUCGGUCCUUGCUGCACCCUUGCUUUUGCGUACCGAUUUGUUUCCUCGGCGGGCUUGCCUGCCGAUAGGACAUUAUCAAACCAUUUUGUAGUUGCAAUCAGCGUCAGAAAAAUAUAAUUAUUACAACUUUCAACAACGGAUCUCUUGGUUCUGGCAUCGAUGAAGAACGCAGC
rnacentral:misc_RNA from 1 species